UAGAACUCUUGAAUGGGCUCUAAUUGGACCCACUUUCAUUUAUUUUAACAUUUUGGGCCAUAAUGGGCCUAGAAUUAAAUAAAAUACCCUUAUUGGGCCAUAACAAAUCUAAUUAACCUAAAUGGGCCAUGAAACCCAUUCUUUUUGAUAAAUUGGGCUGUAAGCCAUAAAGGAGCCCAAUGGGUUGAAAAAUAAUUAUUGGGCCUCAUAAAUUAUAAACCAAGGGAAUGAUUUGGACCAAGCCACUUCAUCCUUUCUCCUAGUCCAAGGUUCUCGGCCCAACACAAAAAAAAGAGAUUAAUUAGAAUUAAACCUUGACACAUCAUUAUUGCUCAAAGGAUAUCAAGGUUUAAUACAUCACAUACAUCUAGGGCAUCCCAUGUUCCCAUGCAACUUCUCUUUCCCCCCUCUCUCUUCUUAUGAUCUUCCGAGAGCCAAACCACACACACACAACAUCAAAACUCUUCCAAACUCUCUCAAAUAUUAUCCUCCUUCCCACUCCAAAAUCUCGAAAUUUUGCUUGUGCAUCAAGAGGAUUUCAAGAAAAUAUCAUCACUUCUUGGUAAGUUAUACAUAUCCAAGGAUUUUAUAACUGUUUUCUCAUGAUUAGAUCCCUUAUCUUAAACAUUUGUGGUAAUAAUACUCUUAGAAUCACCUCAAGUUCGAGAUCAUAAUCAAGGUGUUGCUAGGGCCGAAAAUCACCUCACUUUCUUCCAUUUCUUUUUCAUAACUGUGACCAACAAGAAAGGGUGAGCUUAAUACCCCUCUAUUUUUCUAUUUUUAUAAGUUUUUAUGGGGGAGAAUACAAGCAAAUGUGUAGAUCUAGGAGUUUAUGUAUGUCUUGUGUGAUUUUAUGCAUGUAUGUAUGAUUCUUAUGUCUUAUGUUAGCUAAAAAUACCUAAAAACCGAUAUAUACAACAUGAAGAAUGAAAUAAACAUAGCUUAUACCAUUUUACACUAAUCAAGUCAAUAAAAAUAAUUUAUUUGGUUAGGAUGAAGAUUUUUGGACACAAAACCCAUUUUUGGGCUCAAAAUGUGAAAAAUACAAAACUAAGGGGCCUAACACGAGAAAAGAUAAUUUCUGGAGGUUGAAACAGGUCCAAACAGUUUUUAAGAUAAUUUUUCUGAAUAAAAACACUUUUGAGGGGCUUAAAAUGUAAAUUUUGAACCUAAUGGGCUAAAAAUGGGAUUUUCGGCCCAAUAAGCCCCAAAUUGCGAAAAUUGUGAAAUAGAGGGGCUGAAACUGCACAUUUCUGAAAAACAGGGGACUACUAGUGUAAUAAAACUAAGUCAAGGGUCAAAAAUGUUUUCAAAUUAAAAAGGGACCAAAAAUGCAAAAAAUUUCCAUUUGGGGCCAAAAUUGUAAAGUUGCGAAAACGGGGGUUUCAAUCGAGAAAAUUUCAUUUUUGAGGGACUUAAGCUGUUUAUCAAGUAAAUUUGGGCUGAAAAUGUCUUUUCAACAAGUUUUGAUACUAAAGUGUCAAGAAAAAUGGUUUAAGGACUAAAAUGGAAAUUCUUUUAUAUAAAGGGUUAAAAGUAUAAAUUUUAUCCAAGAAGGGGCAUAAAAAGAAAAACUCUAAUGAUUAAAACAAUAAAUCCCUUAAGAUAAAAUACGAGUACCACGGCUACCGGCAAAACAUAAUAGCAAAUACACUUUCAACACCAAUAUCGUUGCCAAACGAAUUGAUUCAGUCUCAAAUCAAUAACGAAUCAAAGAUCAAUAAACAAUAGUACUUCAAUACACACGCGAAAAUCUACGAGAAGUCAAUAUUCAAUCUUUGGGCUUGAAAGUUUCAAAUCAUGCUUGUUGGGCCUAGCUAGCCCAAUAACAUGAUCUUUAGGCCCGAAGGGAACACGCUUACAUGUUAUUGGGUCUUCUAUGACCUAAUUCCGUGUAAAAGGACUUUCAAUAGCUUUAUUGUGCUGUUGGGCCCCAAGGGCCCAUUGGUACUGCUAGCAAAGUCAAGAAGUCAAAUGCGAGUCGGGCCUAGUGCCUUUCGCAUUCACGAUAGCCUUGAACGACUUAUGGAAAUAACGAGGGCUUCGUACCCUCUUUUCUCCUCGGUUGUGGGGCUAUGAGAAGUCAGGGUGGUUGGAUUAAGUGAGUCUUACGGACGACGCCAAAAGGAUCGUUUGUAAUUGGUAGUUAUAAACUAGUCAUUUUCAUUAAUGCGUGAUUAUAACGACUCACAACCCAUAAUUAAUCCAAUGUCACCUGGAAUUAUCGAAUACAAACGUCGCAUCGGCAUAACAAUAAAUAAGACACGUAAUUUGAUGUAUUAGGAAAACAUCGGGUUUUCCUAGGGAAUUCAACACUUUCAUAUAUGUGAUGCAUACAAAGUCUAACAAUUAUUCACAUUUACAGAAAUCAACAAGCAUACUUACGGAUCUUCACACUUUUUCUUAUAUACAAUACUCUUUUCAGAAAAUAUCGGAUUUUCCGGUGGUUUUAUAAAUAAUACAAAUCAUUACUUUUCAAACAUUACUUAUGAACUCACCAACAUUUCAUAUGUUAACGUUUUCCCAAAAUACUUGUAUUCUCAGGUAACAGGUAAAUCAAAGAAAAUAUAUCCAGUGAUAUCAUGAUGUUUUGUUUAAUUAAUAUCGAACGGUUUAUGUUUUGGAAAUGUAAUCUUUUAAAACAAUGUACUGAAUGUAAACAAUAUCGGUUGUAAUAUUUCAAUGCAUGGUGACGAAUGAUGUUAUGAUUCAUGUAUAAUCAUUAGGAUGGUAUUCAAUUAAGUCACAAUAGCCCUCGGACGUUUCCGCCGUCUGGUUCGGGGGUGUGACAGGUUGAUAUCAGAGCUCUGUUUAUAGUGAACUAGCAUAUCUAACCACAUAUUGAUAUGCAACUAUAAACCAAAAGAGGGACUAACACAACUCUGAACAAAACAAGUAAAACAUAACAAUAAAAUACCCUUGCUUGCACUAGGAACAAGAACAUAACGUUGAACCAAACAAGAUAAUUCUAGUAUCCCGGUUAAUCCAGUACUGUUCUUAGUGGUAUCAAGGAGUGGAUGUAGCCUGAUCAACUACAUUCCCUCCAAGGUAUAACUAUCACACGUUCUGAUGAGAUCGUGAUAGCUAGGGAACCUAAAAAUAUACCCCUUUAGCACCAAAAGGAGAACAUCCGUUAAGUCUAUGCAAUAGUGGUAGAGCCAUAGGAUAACGAUAGUUUAUUCGUAUACCUUCACCCAGUCUUCAUGGAAGGAGAGCAGCAGGGCAUUCGGUUUCAUCAAGUCCUAGUGGCUCACAGGAUGCUUGAAGAUGAACCAGAAGGGAAUCAAGAAGGAGCACACGACGUCGGACCUGACGAGUACAUGGAUACCGACUAUGAUUUCAAGGAGACCGAUGAUGACAUGGAGGAAGAACAAGACUCGGGCAAAGAUCACGCCGCAUCACCUAUUAGCGAGGUGCAGCAUGACCACCCCGCCCCACCAGUGAACCCCGCAAGGGAGAAUCGCUCUCCCGAAGCUGAGAUUGCCGCCCUGCGGCAACAACUGUUCGCCAUGGAAGCACGUGCAGUGCAAGCUGAGCAUAAGAGGGAUGAGGUCAUUGGAGACAUGACUGAGAUGGCUCAGCUGUUUGCUCAAAACUUCGGCAUAUGAUCCCGCCACUAUAUUAGGACACACCAUGGAGUGUUAGGAAUAGACUUAUCUUACUAGGUCAUUAAGAUCUAUGCUAUGUACCCCGACUAUAUGUUUAAGUGACUACACUACUCAUACAGCCGUUAUGUUGUCGAACUAGUAUCACUCAUGUAUGCUCUUACGAGCAAAAUUUUCAUGUAUCAAAUCCGGAUAAUAUUAUUAAACUUUUAUGUGUUUUACUUAUGACGUUAUAAUCUGCUAUGUGUUACGUGUACAUGAUUAUAUGCUAGUUUGUAGAAGUACUUAAGUCCGUACCAUGCACCUAGUCGGUAGGAUCACAACCUCACAGAAACCACAUACACUCAACAUCUUUCCGUUUCAUGACAGAAAGAUGUCUCGCCAACCUACUCGCGGAAACCCUGGACCAACCCCACCCGAAGUUGAAUCCACUGCAUUCCAGGCAGCCGUAUCUGCUGCGGUCGCCGCAGAAAUGGCACAAAUUCACCAAGGGAACAACGAAUGAGGCAACGGACUAGGGGCCGGGAGUUCGAACAACGGAAUGAAUCAAGGACCCACCAAAACAUGCUCUUACAAAGACUUCACCAACACCAAACCACGAACCUUUAACGGCACUGGAGGGGUGAUCACCCUGAAAAAAUGGAUCGAGAAGGUGGAAUCGGUGUUCGAGAUAUGCGAUUGCCCUGAAGAGAUGAAGGUGAAGUUUGCUGCAUGCACCUUUGUUGACCAAGCACUCACUUGGUGGAACGGACACGUGGAAGCCAUGACACUCCCCGUAGCCAAUUCCAUACCAUGGACAGAAAUGAAAGAAAUGCUGAUGGCCGAAUACUGCCCUCGUGGUGAAAUUCAGAAGAUGGAACAAUAACUGUGGAACCUCACUGUCCGGAAUGCUGAUAUAGAUGCCUACAUAUCAAGGUUCAGCGAACUAUCUCUGUUAUGUCCUGGCAUGAUCACCUUAGAAGGAAAGAAGAUCGAGCGAUUCAUCUGGGGACUCAUCUCCCCGAUCCAAGGAAACGUGAUAGCUGCAAAUCCUGAAACUUUUGACAGCGCCAAGAGAUUGGCCAAGAAGCUGUAUAACCACAACAACAAGAAGGGUGACAAGCCACCGGAGGCGGAAGCCAAGAAGGAAAGUGAUGGCAAGAAGGGGAAGAACAACAAGAGAAAGGGGCGUCAAGGCUCCGAGACAUCCAAGAAGCAGCAGACAGUGACAGUUAAUGUUGCCACCGUGCAAGUUCCAGCCACACCACAUGCUCCAGCCUCAGUUGCUCCAAAUGCUCCUAGACCUUAUUCUGGUAAUCUUCCCAAGUGCAACAAGUGCGGUUUCCAUCACAAUGGAGAAUGCAAGGAGCUGCAGUGCACCAGUUGCAAUCGAAAGGGGCACACGGCAAGGUAUUGCAGGACUUACCCUCCCCAGAAUCAACAACAGGGAAGAAACAACAACAACAACCGCAAAAACAACAACACCAACACUAGCGGCAACAAUGCCGGACCUAGCCACACCUGCUAUGGGCGUGGAAAAACUGGGCAUUUUCGUCGCAAUUGCCCUAACAACAACAAUCCCGGAAAUGGAGGGACAAGAAGGGUGCUGGCCAUGGGUCAGGGGGAGGCAAUUCAGGAUCUCGUUGUUGUUACCGGUAUGUUUCCCCUAAACCAAACUUAUGCAUGCAUCCUGUUUGACACCGGAGCAGAGCGAAGCUUUGUGAGCAAUAAGUUUAAAUACUAUUUAAAACAACAACCCCAGAAGCUCAAUGAAACCUUUACGGUGGAAAUGGCCAAUGGGAAAACCGAAUCCACUGGGGAAAUCUACACCGGAUGUACCCUAACCUUAAAUCAACACGUCUUUCGAAUAGACUUAAUGCCUGUUUCCAUUAGGAGUUUCGAUGUGAUUAUUGGCAUGGACUGGUUAAGCCCCCACCAUGCUGAAAUUAUGUGUCACGAGAAGGCCGUUCGCCUUCACCUUCCCAAUCACGAAACCCUAGUUAUUUACGGAGACAAACCUAGCACGAACCUUCAUCUCAUCUCGUGCGUCCAGGCACAGAAACACCUAUGAAAGAAAGAUUUGACGUUCUUGGCUCACAUAGUGGAUAAAAGCAAGGAAGAGGUUAACAUUUAGGACAUUCCAGUAGCACGUGAAUUCCCAGACGUAUUUCCUGAAGAUCUUCUUCGAGUACCCCCAAAGAGACAAGUUGAGUUCCGACUUGACCUCGUUCCAGGAGCAACCCCUCUCGCUAAAUCGCCUUACCGGCUAGCUCCUGCUGAAAUGUAGGAAUUGUCCAGUCAACUCGGCGAACUCAUGGGCAAAGGCUUCAUCCGACCCGACUACUCGCAAUGGGGAGCUCCGGUCCUCUUUGUCAAAAAGAAGGACGGAUCUUUUAGAAUGUGCAUCGAUUAAAGAGAGUUAAACAAACUCACCGUCAAAAAUCGCUAUCCACUCCCACGAAUCGAUGAUCUAUUUGACUAGCUCCAAGGGGCUAGUUACUUUUCUAAAAUAGAUCUACGGUCCAGGUACCAUCAGCUUAAGGUCCGGGAAGAGGAUAUUCCCAAAACUGCUUUCCGAACUCGUUACGGACAUUAUAAAUUUGUCGUAAUGCCCUUCGGUCUAACAAAUUCCCCCGCCGCAUUUAUGGAUCUGAUGAACCGAAUCUGUCGACCAUUCCUCGACAACUUUGUCAUCGUCUUCAUUGACGACAUUCUAGUCUAUUCCCGAAGCGAAGAAGGGCAAGGCCAACGUGGUAGCUGAUGCAUUGAGCCGGAAGGAGUACUCUAAUCUUCGUGCGAAAACUCUCUCAAUAACCAUCCAAUCUCACCUAACCACUCAGAUUGGGGUAGCCCAGUCAGAGGCCAUGAAGACGGAAAACAGAGCAAGCGAAGCAUUACGCGGAAUGGAGAAGAAUCUAGAGGUAAAAGAGGACGGGGUAUACUAUUUCAUGAACCGUAUUUGGGUCCCUAAACUCGGAGGAUUUAGGGAGCUAGUCAUGAAUGAAGCUCACAAGACGCGAUACUCCAUCCAUCCCGGUUCGGACAAGAUGUAUUUGGAUAUUAAACAACAUUAUAGGUGGCCUAACAUGAAGGCAGAAAUUGCCACCUAUGUCAGCAAAUGCCUUACUUGUGCCAAAGUAAAGGUGGAGUACUAGAAGCCCUCGGGGUUAUUACAGCAAUCGGUGAUUUCCGAGUGGAAAUGGGAAGGGAUUUCUAUGGAUUUUGUGACCAAGCUACCCAAGACGUUAGAUGGACUGGACACCAUAUGGGUAAUAGUCGAUCGACUGACGAAAUCCGCCCAUUUCUUGCCAAUAAAAGAAUCCUACAAGAUGGAGAGACUGACACGAUUAUACAUUCGAGAAAUCGUGAGACUCCAUGGAGUACCAGUGUCUAUUAUCUUGGAUAGAGACAGUAGAUUCACUUCCCGUUUUUGGCAAUCACUUCAGAAAGCACUUGGAACCCAUCUCGACAUGAGCACCGCUUAUCACCCACAAACGGACGGUCAAAGCGAACAAACCAUCUAGACGCUCGAAGACAUGCUUCGCGCAUGUGUGAUAGACUUUGGGAAGUCUUGGGAUACCCACUUACCCUUAGUUGAAUUCUCUUAUAACAACAGUUAAUAUUCGAGCAUCAAGGUCGCUCCUUUCGAAGCACUAUAUGGACGUAAGUGUAGAUCACCGUUGUGUUGGGCUGAGGUGGGCGACACCCAGCUAGAAAAGAAACUGGCAUCGGACAAGGCAUUAACGGUACCGGAGAUCAUACGUGAAACCACAGAAAAGAUAGUUCAAAUCAGAGCUCGACUACAAGCAUCACGCGAUCGACAAAAGAGCUACGCCGAUAAACGACGAAAGCCCUUAGAGUUUCAGGUCGGGGAUCGAGUGCUGUUAAAAGUUUCACCUUGGAAGGGGGUCAUUCGCUUCGGAAAACGAGGAAAACUGAACCCACGAUACAUUGGACCUUUCGAAAUCAUUGCCCGAAUAGGUCCAGUGGCGUACAAACUACAGCUACUCGCGGAGCUAAACAGCAUACACCCCGUGUUCCAUGUUUCAAAUCUUAAGAAGUGCCUAUCAGACUAAACACUCGUCAUUCCCCUUGACGAGAUUGAAAUCAACGAGAAUCUCCUGUUCGUUGAGGAACCAGUCGAAAUCAUGGACAGGGAGGUGAAGCGUACUAAGCAAAGUCGCAUCCGGAUCGUGAAAGUACGGUGGAACGCGAAGCGUGGUCCAGAAUUCACGUGGGAACGCAAAGACCAAAUGAAGCAAAAGUACCCUCACCUAUUCUAGCAUUCUCAAAUCUAGCUUUCAAAUGCAUUUCGGGACAAAAUUCCCUCUAACGGGGGGAAGAUGUCACAACCUAGAAAUUUUUGUGCCUUGUAGAUUACAACAAUUAAGCCAAAAUAUGAAUCAAAGACUCAAGAGCAUGUAUGAUGCAUACUCUAUGACAAUAAAAUUUCAAACAAACACCCCAUGCAAGCAUUUCAAGUGGUCAAUAAGCAAUUGGAAACCCUAGAAGUCCUUGUUUAAGUCCAUUUUGGACUAGGACUUCCUUAUUGGGCCCAACGGACCAAUAAGCUUCCAAUUUGACUAUCUUGGGCUUAGAACUCUUGAAUGGGCUCUAAUUGGACCCACUUUCAUUUAUUUUAACAUUUUGGGCCAUAAUGGGCCUAGAAUUAAAUAAAAUACCCUUAUUGGGCCAUAACAAAUCUAAUUAACCUAAAUGGGCCAUGAAACCCAUUCUUUUUGACAAAUUGGGCCGUAAGCCAUAAAGGAGCCCAAUGGGUUGAAAAAUAAUUAUUGGGCCUCAUAAAUUAUAAACCAAGGGAAGGAUUUGGACCAAGCCACUUCAUCCUUUCUCCUAGUCCAAGGUUCUCGGCCCAACACAAAAAAAAAGAGAUUAAUUAGAAUUAAACCUUGACACAUCAUUAUUGCUCAAAGGAUAUCAAGGUUUAAUACAUCACAUAGAUCUAGGGCAUCUCAUGUUCCCAUGCAACUUCUCUUUCCCCCCUCUCUCUUCUUAUGAUCGGUCGAGAGCCAAACCAUACACACACACAACAUCAAAACUCUUCCAAACUCUCUCAAAUAUUCUCCUCCUUUCCACUCCAAAAUCUCGAAAUUUUGCUUGUGCAUCAAGAGGAUUUCAAGAAAAUAUCAUCACUUCUUGAUAAGUUAUACAUAUCCAAAGAUUUUAUAACUCUUUUCUCAUGAUUAGAUCCCUUAUCUUAAACAUACUCUUAGAAUCACCUCAAGUUCGAGAUCAUCAUAAAGGUGUUGCUAGGGCCGAAAAUCACCUCACUUUCUUCUAUUUCUUCUUUAAAACCGUGAACAACAAGAAAAGGUGAGCUUCAUACCCCCUAUUUUUCUGUUUUUAUAAGCUUUUGU
rnacentral:lncRNA from 1 species